rfam:Schistosoma margrebowiei strain Zambia genome assembly, scaffold: SMRZ_contig0007578
AUCCAGCUGACGAGUCCCAGAUAGGAGGAAAAGCGGGUUCUGGAU